GCGGGGAUGAAGCAACGGUUAAGGCUGAGCAGUCUCAUAAGCUGAAGUUCAGUAGGUUCGACUCCUACCCCCGCG
rnacentral:tRNA from 1 species